rnacentral:pre_miRNA from 1 species
AGGAGCAACAGCCCCAGUGGCGGGGCCAGCUCUGGAAACCUGGAUUCAGCCCCCGCAGAAACUCCGGAGCUCUCCGUCUGCAGGGCCUGGAGGCUCCGGGGUGGG